rnacentral:lncRNA from 1 species
GCAGAGCGGAGGAGCAGCAGCUGCCACCGGCCGGAAGCCUGCUGGCUCGGCCGAGAACAAUGGCCGCCUGUCACUGUGGACAGCUGUCUCCCAGGCUAAGGCAAGGCUGCGCUCCCAGGGAAUGCGGGCAGGGAGCCAGGGCGGAGGGCAGAGGACGAGAGCGAGGAGGAGAGCGCGGGCACCCACUGAUGCUGGCGGCCUCGGGUAUUCGCUUUCUCUCUCUUCUCCCACCUUGUUCCUUUUCCCCGGAUGCACGCAUGCACUAGUAAUGCCGAAUUUAGAACAACAGGGAAAGGAAAGGAAAUGGCAAAGGAAGGGAAAGGAAAUGGCCGACAGGAAAUGGCAAGGAAGGGAAAAUCCACUGCAACUCUGCUGCCUGCUGGCCUGUCCAGGGACAACUAUUCAGCUGGGUGGGACGUUGCUACCCCCUUGUGGCACCCCUGCUGCAGCCUGCGAUUCUUACGCCCUGUAUUUCUGGUCUAACAUCAACCAACACUUUGGCGAAAUAUAAUAAAAUGAAAUUACUAGGAGAAUGAAAGAAAGUCACAUGAAAUAAAAGCCCUGCUUUUUAAUGAUUAUAUCCUCUGUGAAAUGGAUCUGCAGCCCUCUCCAUUUCUGGGUUCCCCUGGCCACACCAUGCUUAUGGCUGUCCCAGGAGCAGGCUGACAGACAAGCUUCCACCAGCAUCUAACCAUGGGGCUCAUGGACACCGUAGAGCGUCUCCACCCAACAGAAUCCUGACUUGGGGGCAGCUGAGGCAGGGGGCCCGAGCGUUGAGGGGACCACGCUGCUGCCCCGAGACCUGCUGGCAUGCCACCUGGCCAACCCUGACUUCGCCUGCCCGGGCGCAUGUUAACUGAGUUACAACACUGAGGGCACUUGAACCUGGCUGCAUGACCAGAGAUCGAUCACCUGUGAGAUCCUCUGUGAAACGGGAUAAGCAUCUUUAAUUUCCUGGGCUGUUCUGGAACUUCAGUCAGACAGGACACAGGAGGGUGUCUGCACCACCCACCCCUGCCUCGUGGGCUGACUGGGAACUAUAUGACCUGUGGAGGGCUGUGACCGCCACCCUCCACCUCACUGGGGCCGCAAGCCUUCUCUGCUCCUUGAUUCUGCUGCCGUUGUGAGCGAGGGCCCCAGCACCCUUAGGGACCCCAAUCAAUGGGCUUCCCACAAUGUCGUCACCCUUUGUUGCCUGCUAAGCAGCCCUGGGGCCACCUCAGAAGAAACAGAACUCACAGGUCACAGGGGCCUUUUCCUCCUCGUCAUCGUCCUCCUCCUCUUCUUCUUCCUCCCUGGGCAACUUCCUGAAUUCGGAAAGGUGGGGUUUUGCUAUGUUGUCCAGGCUGGUCUUGAACUCCUGCCCUCAAGUGAUCCUCCCAUCUCAGCCUCCCAAAGCCCUGGGAUAAUGGCGUGAGCCGCCACACCUGGCCGCCUUUGGUCUGUUUGAAGAGGGACAUGGCAUGAUCAGAUGGGGCUUUUAGGCCUCUCUGACCCUGGUGUGGAGGGUGGGCUGGCAAGAAGGGGACGACUGUCUAAAGGAGAGAGUCUAAGACCUGGGCUGGGCAGGGCCAUGGUGACAAACAGGAGCAGACAGAGUCGGGCAGUAUAAAUGGAGGGGCAGGGACAGUGUUGAAGUUUCUAUUCUGAGCAACUAGAAGGCUCGUGGUACAGUUAAUUACCCUGAUGGGGAUGGAAGAGUCAGGCAGGGGAUGGGCAAUGGGCUCUGUUUCCACAGCGACUUGUGUUCCACGGAGGUCAAGAGGCCUGAGGGCCUGCAAGAACAUGGUCUGGGCAGGAGAUGGAGCUGCGGAAUGAAUGAGGAUAGGGGGCUGAGUCCCACAGGGCCAGAGCAUGGCUAGCAAAGUGGGGAUGACUCCAGGAGUGGCCUUCUGGGUGCCACGAAGGAAAUGUUUUAAGAAGUGAGAUUGGGUCACUGCUUUCAAUGUCAUAGAACAGAGCUGAGCAGUUGAGGAGGCGUAGUGGGUAGAAAGGGAGGUCGCAGCAGGCUGAAAGCAAACCGACAGGAGGGUUAGCGUCUUUUAGCAGGUAGGCAGGGCAGAAGAGAGCCACGGGGCAGAUCAGGGAAAGAAACACUGAAGCCAUCUGUGGCUGAGAAGGAGGGCAGUGGGGAGGAGUGUCUAAAAUUCUGAGCCAUCCCUGGCUUUUCUGGGCAGAAGGGGUCGCUCCCUCAGUGGCCCUAUGGCCUCUAACAUGCAUUUUGACCCCUGGAAUCUGCCUUCUCACCCAGUGGGGGCCCUGGAAGCUGGACAACACACAUUCACCCCUGUGUGCCUGUCCCUGAGAGUGGGGGUCAGGGGAGCAUGCCUGGGGUGGCGAGGUGAUUCUGCACUGGGCCGACACUCCCGGCUUUAACUGGAAGGCGAGGACCUUCCAACAGCACAGGCUGACAGGUCUUGUUCCAUGGGGGCUGGGCACCCAAGGUAUCUACUGAUGGUCUGAGGAAUCUACCGGGAUGGAUUCCUGAUUUUUUUUUUUUUUUUUCUGAGACGGAGUUUCGCUCUAGUUGCCCAGGCUGGAGUGCAAUGGCGUGAUCUCAGCUCACCACAACCUCCACCUCUCGGGUUCAAGUGAUUCUCCUGCCUCAGCCUCCUGAGUAGCUGGGAUUACAGGCAUGAGCCACCAUGCUCAGCAGAUUCGUGAUUUUUAAAAUGAAAGGGUGACUCAUGGGAGAAGCCUCUGGAACUGCCUUUGAAAAACAACCAGCCAAGACAUGAGAAAUUAGUUCCUCUGCCAUUUGGGGGUUUCCUGCCAACUGCUGGGUUUUCCUUUUGCACAGCAGGGAGGAAGGACGCCUGUUUCCCUUGGUCCCGGUGAGGCCAGGCCUCAGCUUCCUGCCCACCCGCCACUGCUGCUGGGGCAGGGAGGCAGUUUCCGGCUGUGGGGACCCAGACAAUGCCUGGCCAAGGGCCACCAUCGUCCUCUUCCUGGACACAGCUCCCGCCUCAUCCCAGGGUCUGGCCUGGGACACGCCCUAGAGGCCCUCAGCCCUGAGUCACUGCACCAUGCAGAUCCACCCUGAUUCUGGUCCCUGCAGAGCAGGCUCCUACACAAGGCAAGAAGAUGCUCCAGGGACAAGCCAAGGUGUAUGCAAGGCCCAGGUGCCUGAGAAACACGUCUCACCGACCUUGGGGCAGGGGCUGUUACAAGAGGCUUAUAGUCUAGUGGCAGAGACAAAAACCACACUCAAAUCAUUAGUGUACGGUAUGCACUGCUCAGGGACUCAAAUAUGUGACAGGAGGCUCCAAACAAGAGCGGAGACAAGGCGUAAAUAGCCCCCUGUGGACUGGAUGUUCUGACUCCUGGAUGGCCUCCAGAAGGAUGCCUUUUACGGUCUGUGAAAGAGCUCAGGGACCAAGAUGCUCAAAGCCCUUCAUGCCCAAGAGCCCCUCCUCAGGCUGGGACACGGGAAGCAGAGCUCGGAGGUGGAACUCGUGACUGUGUAUGGGCACAUGUGAGUGCGUGUGUGUGGACAGCCAGGCUUAGUGUAGACAACGUGUGAGGCUCAGACCCCAAGUGCUGACUACACCUAUGCACAUCCACACCUGCGUGUGAAAGAAGAUGCUAGAAAAGAACAAAAAUAACUUAAAAAAUAAAUCCAAUAAGAUGGCUGGAACAUAUAACAACUUCAAAUACUCCAUUUUAGUUCACCAUGUAAGGUGGGUUCCUGGGGGCUGAGGAGACUCGGGAGCUCUGCACCCCUCCUGCUCGCACCCAUCACUAGGUGGCUCACACAGCAGCCGCUCAACAAGUCUGGCUGCUCUCGCAUCAAAACCAAAACCCACUGCCCUCCCCUGCGCCCCCAGCACUGACCCCAACACUUUGGUUCGGGGCCCUCCUGGGCAGGUCACCUGCACUGCCUACUCACUCCUCAGCCCUCCAGGCCCUCCCACCUUGGAUCCUUCCCUGGGACCCUGCUCUGCGCCCUUCUCCCCCUGCCCAGGAACUGAAGGCUGAUGUUGUCACCCCGGUGCUGCGGCCUGUCCGUCUUCAGCACCUGUGCCCCACGCAGGCCCAGCAAACCCCUGGGCUCUGUUGUUCCCCGGGAUGGCUUUUCCAUCUGAUCCCCAGCUUGGGGCUGGCACCGCUUGGCUUUGCCCGGUCACCUCAUGCUUGGGCCAAAGUGCACCAACCCUUCUGUCCCGGGCCUGGCUUUUUGCCUCAAGGCAGCAAUGGCCCCAUGCCACCUCCACGAAGACCCAGUGGCUGCAGAACUCCCUGGUCUGGACUCCCCUGCUCCCUGCAGAGUGCCACCUGCUCCUCUCAAGAAGGCAGAACGUGAGGCCUUUCCUCACCUCCCGUGCAUUGGCACCCCUGCUGGGCCCACUCUGCUCCACCACUGGGGGCUGAUUCACUUUGUGCCACAUAUCUAAAAUAUUUCCUCAAAACAAGCCAAUAACACCCUUUGCGCAUGCCAUGACCUCAUGGAGCGUGGUCACCGGACAUUUCCUCCUGAGCUCUAGGCAGCUGUGGGGGAUGCUGGGUGGCAUAGCCCUUGCAUGUGGCUGACACUUAGCAAUGUUUGUGCCCAUGUUGCACAGGGAGAGCACAAGUCACUGACUCUGCUAGGGCCUGGGGUCAAGGAAAAUAGGCCCUUGGUGGGUGUCAGGAACAGAGUUGAUUCGCUGCAAGGGGCAAAGGAAGUGCACACUUGGGGGAUACUGAGGCAGCCACCGAGGAUGGUGGCUCUGUCAGAGGGAGCUAUGGCUGAGGGCCUGUCAUGGCUUCAGGUGAUAUUUCAGGUGAUUUGGGUGAUGCUGGGACUGGGGACCAUGCGCACAUCCCCUCAGCAAGGGACUAGGUUCACAGAAACAGCACGCGGCCCACCAGCCUGCUCACCUCCAUGAGCUGUCCCCUGUGCCAGACAGACAGCCUAACUCCAAGACCCUGUCUGAGCAGAGAGGGUUCGAGAAAAGACCUUGUCCUUCACCAUCUUUCAUGGGACAAAUGCUUCCAGAAUGAAUGAAUAAAUGAAGGGGAGGGCAAGGGUCUUCCAAGGAAAGGACCUCUGAGUUCAGCCUAGGCGACAGCUACACACUGUCUGCCGGUGGACACCCAACUCUCUAUCUUCCCCGAAAUCUGCUCGGCUAGUUGUGCUACCUCUCUGUGCCUCAGCUUCCUCACCUGUGGAAGGGGGACAGUGCCAGCUAUCUCUCAGAUCGUGGUGGCUGGGGUGCCAUGUGGCUCUGCCACUCCUUGACUGUAAGGCCUCAGGCCAGCCUCUUCAUCUACCCACCUCUGCCUCCUCGUCCAUCACACGGAUCGGAAACAGGACGUACUGCUUAUCAGCUGCUAUGCAAUAAAUUGUGUUCCCUAAAAGGUAUGUUGAAGCCCCAGCCCCCUGUGGCUCAGAAUAUGAUCUUAUUUGGAGUUAAAGUCUUUGCAAAUGUAAUUAGUUAUGUUCACAUGAGGUCACAUUGGCUGGAGUGGCUCAUGCCUGUAAUCCCAGCAUUUAGGGAGGCAAAAACAUGAGGAUCCAUGGAGCCCAGAAAUUCGAGACCAGCCUGGGCAGCAUAGCGAGACCCCAUUCUCCACAAAAAGAAAGAUGAGAUCACACUGUAGGAGGGCAGCCCCUGGUCCAAAAUGCCCAUGUCCUUACAAGAGGAGGAGUCACAGACACACAGCAGGCAGGGUGGGGAGGUGUGAAGGCACAGACACACACAUGGGGAGAUGCCGUGUGCAACAAGGCCAGCUAGGAGGAAUGAGUCUACAAGCCAAGGACCUCCAGGAAGUCAAGGCCAGGCACUAACAGAAAGGCAGACUCUUCCCUGCAGCCUUUGAGAGAGCAUGGCGCAGCUGCCACCUUGAUCUUGGACUCUGGCCUCCAGCCCUGUGAAAGAAUGAGCUUUGGCUGUGUUGAGUGCCCAGUGUGUGGUGCUUUGCCAUAGCAGCCACGGGAGUUCCACAUGGUGCUGCAUAGGGAUCCGGGGCUGCAGAUCCCCGUGUGGGGCUGGACGUGUAGGGGAGCAGCAGCCACAUCCCUUGUCGGCCCUGGUGCCGUGCCCUUACUCCCCGUCCCCUUUGGGGGUGCACAGGCCUACCUGCUGCCCAGAAAGCCCAUGGCCAGCUCAGCCAGCUCGCCCUCCACCUCCUCCUGGCUGAGCACCGUCCCUGGGGCCUUCCAUGGCAGAGGGUCCUCUGGGUUCAGCAGGGCUGGGAAGUCUUGCAGGAGCGUGUCCAGGAAGCCUGGGGUCUCCUCAGCUCCACUGGCCAUUGGGCUGCUCUUCUGUGGGGCUCCAGAGGACAUGCCCAAAGCAUCCCGGGGGCCUGCAGCUAGGCCAGGGCAAGAGGGUCUCCAGGCUUCACCCUGGGGAGAAAUGUCAGAGUCAGCAGAAUCAGGGGGCCAUGGCACCAGCAAUGCAGGUGCCCACCUGCAAGCACCAUGUGGCAGGUGCAUGGCCUCAUGGUUCAGGGCCACUAGAGGGUGGAGGGACAACCCUGGCCACUGUUUUGACAUGAGUCCAGGUGGGGACUUGUGGGCAUCCAGAGAUCCGGUCUCAGGAGAUGGUGCCAGGAGCAGCAGCUGGGUGGACAUUGUCAAGAAGUGACAGAGGAGGAAGACUGUUCCUGGCAGAGGGUGGCCAGCGUGGCCAGAGACGAGCAGGACAGGGAUGCCGAGGCCAGGCACUGAGGUAGGUGAGGGGGUUCAACCUGAUCACGGGUCCCGAGCAGCCAGGAGGGCUCUGAGGUGAGGGAGUGAAGCCACCAGGUCUGUGAGCCUGGACGUGGUGACCAGAUGGCAGGAGGGACACCUGUUGGGGCUCUAGUGGUGUUCAGGGGAGGAAAGAGAAGGGCCAAGAUGCGGGAGGCCGGCCCAGGGCUGUUUUGGAGAUAGGCCAGAGUGGGAGCAGGAAGGGAUCCCCAGAGGCUGCUGGGGCCACCCAAGGGGUGGCCAGGAGAGAAGCAGAGGUUUAAUCUGGGACAGACAGGAGGUGCUGUGGGACACCAUCGAGCCUAUUCAAUGCUCUCUAAUAGGAGGAGGGAAUUGUGAGCCUAGAAUGGCUCAGGCCUGCUAAGCCCUGGCUGGAAGAGGGGCACUGUGGACAGUUCCAGGCGCUGACCCCACUGUGCGGCAUGUGGGCUCUUCCUCCCUAAGUCCUUAGGGAUGACCAGAGCUGACCAGCCCUGGGAGUUGCCCCUAACACCCCAGGAGCCAGGACAAGCCCCCAUUUCACAGAUGAGAAUCCCAAGGUUUGGAGAGGGUUAGUCCCUCGCCUGAGGUGUCAGAAGGAAGACAGGGCCAAAGAGGGAUCGCAAAGCCUGUGCCUUCACUCCCUCACCGGCUUCUCUCUCACUGGAAAGAGGCACAUGGUGCCUCACAGCCUCCUCCCAGGGUGGCUCUGGCUCCUCUUCUCUCCUAACUCCGAAUCUCCAUAGUCGCCUCCCCAGCCUGCCUGCCUUGCCUAUACCCAAACAGCUCUCCAGCGCCCCCCCUUCCAUGUUCUUUGCGUCGCCCCGGGGAUUCACCUCCAGGCCCCACACCUGGGCCUCCCUGCCAGCACCCACUCAGCAUGGACCCUUCUCUCUCCUGCCCCCUUCCUCUCGGGUGCCUGACCCCUCCAAACCCUCCCCACAGCGGGGACUCCACCUUGGGCUUUGUCUAACACUCAGGCUGGGAAACUUUAUUCAGCGAGUCCUACGCAGUAGUGGAUGAGAUUGGAUCCAGAAAAAAAUAAAAAAGAAAUCCUACACAGUUACUAAGCCAGGGAGAAAAACUGCAUUCUUUUAUGGUGACAAACGGACAUGAGACUCUGAGGAACACCCCGAGUUCUAGGGUGGAGAAUUUGGGGAACAGUUUCACAGCCCAUCACCUUCAUGAGGACUUCCAGGUUCUGAAAACUGAACGAAGAAGGCAAGGAGAAUCUUCUAGAAUCAUCAGUCUUAGAAUAGCCACAGACUCUGCCUACAAACUUUGCUAAAAGGGCGGCUGUGGCAGGGGCCUGAGGUGCAGGAUGAAGAGAGUGGGAAGUAAGAGAUGCAGGGAGCUCACAGCCCACAAGAGGGCUGUCCUUAUCAGGAAUUGCUAACUUGGAACAAGCCUUCUGGAAGCCUAAAGAUAAAAAACACAAAAGAGAAUGGGGUGGGCAGAGGGAAAGGUCCCAGCACCAAGUUAAAUGUCUGAUCAGUGAGGGAUUUGGAAUGCAAGGGGUGAAGGGUGGUAAAUUAACAAAACACAAAACCCUUCUCUUCUUUUAGAGGCAGAAUUGAAAGGUAAUUUAUUUAAAGUGGACACAUACAAAUAACGUAGGAAUAGGGGUGCUUGCUACUGAAGGUUCUGGGGAUAGACUAAAUUUAUUGCUAUGGUUCACAUUUACUCACAAGUAGGAGUAAAUUUAAUGCAACCCAGGUUACAGAAGGCAAGCAGGUAAAAGGAUAAAGAACAUAAAACAACUGGCAAGGCGCUGUGGCUCAGGUCUAUAUCUCAGCGCUUGGGGAGGGUGAGGCAGGAGGAGUGCUUGAGGCCAGGAGUUCAAGACCAGCCUGGGCAGUGAGAUCGCCACCCCCCCCCCACCCCCCAUCUCUACCAAAAAAGAAAAAAAAAGAACAUAAAGCAAAAAAGGAAAAAUCACUUUGAGAGCAGGAGGGACACUGACAUUCAAACGACAAAGGGAAGACUGUGAGCUGGAGAAAUGAGCAGAGGCUGGGAGCCCUAGUAGGUCAAUGAGGAGGCGGCACGUCCUGCCAGCCAUGCCCCAGCAGAGCUGUAAGGCAUUCGAAGAUGGCGUGAAUUUCCCAGCAAGCUUGGCUGCCCUCAAGCAGUGCAAGCGGCCAAGGGCCCCUCUUCUGCCUGGGACUGCCCUGGCCCCUGGAGCUUCUGGGAGAAUGUGAACGAUGCAGAGCUGCCCCCAGCAACUGCCAGUGCCUGGGGCCUCCUCCCACUCCCUUGCAAUUCCAAGUGAUCUGGAGGCUCUACUGUCUCACCACAAAAUGUGCUCAUGUGAAUUUAUGAUUAGGAUCCAAGUGAGAGGACAGCAUGCUCCCCGCUAGAGCACACAGAGGGCCCCCCUGGAGAAACCCCUGCCCACAGUGUAAAGCCCCACUGUCAAGGGCAGAAUUCAAGACCCUUCACUUCCACCCCAUUUGCUGGUGACGUCUGCUGGACCUUUUGGGAUGCAGGUGCCUCCUUCUUGCCUCCUGACCUUGGGGUACUCUUUCCUGUGCCGUGAGCCCCUCCCCACAAUCGGCCUGUUCCCUCAGGGAGGGUGGCUCCUCCUGUCUGCACUACAGACCCUGAUUCACUGUGGCCACCUGCCUGCUCUCUCUGUGCCUUGUGCCCACUAUCUGCACAUGCCUCAAUGGUGUCUGUGCCAUGUGUACUAAGUAAGGUCUGGGGGGUGUGAUGAUGUGUGUGUGUGAAGCUCUGUCUGCAUCUGUAGAGGGGACAGGCUGGCUUACUCUCAGGGCCUGUGCCAACUGCCUGCUCUUGUUACAAAGGCAGGGUGCCCAGGGCCAUCUUACUUGCUGGGGACCAAGCACCCUUGUUUCUGCAUCACCAACCUAAGGCAAGGGGUGAGGAGAGAAACCAGGACACAGCUUUCUCUCCCUGGAGCCCAGAUGUCGAAAGGGACAGGAAUCAUUUCCUUCCUUUUCCCAAUAAGCUCCUGAAUCUGACGUACACCAUGGCACACCCGGCAGGAAGGAGAAAUUCCUCACCAAGGGAAACCAGAGGCAGCCCUGGGAGUGCCUGGAGGGGCAGGGGACAGUGCUGUGGUUCUUUGAGGGAUCAACUGGAAGAGACAGCAUCAGGAAUGGCAUGGAGGCCAGCGGCAAGCCGCAGGGAGUAGGGAGAGCUGGGAGAGCACCAGAGGCAGCGGAGCCUGGUGCUGGGCUUUCCUGAGCAGGGCACACCAGUGAAAAACUCCGAAUAAGAGGGACGUGUGCAUGAGCCUGUGCAAAUCACCAAGAGCCCGGGGUGGGCAUGGGAGGGACAUUGGACUCCUGCAUCCCAGCACCGCCUGCCUGGACCAGUCUGACCAAAUGCGACUGGCAGCUGGUUCCUCCUGGAUCAGGGCCCCACUGCACACCAAAUGGGUGCUCACCCUCCUAGAACCUAUUUAAGGUCCCACAUAGGUGAGAAAUGGCAAAGCAAACUCAUCGGGGGGCAGCUGCAGGGGUGUGGCUGACGGUGCUGCCAGCUGCCAUCCGCCCCUGCUCUGAGCACUCUUCCUGGGAUGGCUUUUAGCCUCCCAACAACCUCUUGUGGUUAUCCCCACUUCACAGGGCAGGCUGUAGCAGAAGAGCUAAGGAACUUGCCCAAAGUCCCAGGGUGGGGUUCAUGCUGGGGAACCUGGGCCUUAACUGUGAUGACACCUGGGAAGUCAUUCUGACUCCUUCUAUCCCUGACCUGUCCCUCAUUGGCCACCAGCUCUGGGCUUUGGCUCUCUCAUGGCUCCUCCUUCCAUUUCUGUGUACCCCCCACCCUAGGGCAGCCCCUCCCCUCCUUGUUUUGUGGUGCCCUCCUUCCAUUUUGCCUCCCGAGAUCUCUCAGAUCCUUUGAGGCUUUGCUGAAAUCUCCCCAUCUUUGGAUCCAGCAUGCUCUCUUUCAUGUCUCUAUGGCACUUUUGCUCACAUCUGACUUGUAAAAAGUUUUUUUUUUUUUAAUUUAAAAUAUUUAUUUUCCUCUAGUGCAUUAGUUUUGACUCCUAAGCUUAACGAAUGCAGGGUUUAACAACUGCAGUUUUUUAGGGGACAUAGAAAAAAUACUUGUUGAGUCUUGCUUAACUGCAGAACCAAGGUAAUGAAAAAAACCCAGCAAUCCUUAGAAAAGGGAACUGCACCACUAUAGUGUAACAAAAGCAUCAUUCAUGUUAACUGUUUUUUUUUGUUUUUGUUUUUUUUGAGACAGAGUCUUGCUCUGUCACCCAGGCCGGAGUGCAGUGGCGCAAUCUUGGCUCACGGCAACCUCCGCCUCUCAGGUUCAAGUGAUUCUCCUGCCUAAGCCUCCCUAGUAGCUGGGAUUACAGGCACCCACAACCACGCCUGGCUAAUUUUUUUGUAUUUUUAGUAGAGAUGGGGUUUCACCAUGUUGGCCAGGCUGGUCUCGAACUCCUGACCUCAGGUGAUCUGCCCGCCUCAGCCUCCCAAAGUGCUGUGAUUACAGGUAUGAGACACCACGCCUGGCCAACCUUUUUCUACCAAAAGAGAUUCUUAUUUCUUUAUUCAUAACUACUAAUACUAAUAAUAGUUAGAUGUAAAUCCUAGAUUUUUUUUCUACAUAUAUAAAUUUUUUUUAUUGUUGUAAAAUAUACACACUAUGUAUCCUUUUAACCAUUUCUAAGCGUACAGUUCCAUGGCAUUAAGCAUAGUCACAUUGCUGUGCAAUGACCAUUUCUUUCUACAGGCCUGACUUUCUUGAUAGACUGUAAGCUCCCUGUAGUCAGGGAGCCCACGAUGGCCCUUUGUGUACAGCAGGUGGUAAGUGUGAUGGCAGAGGGAAGAGUGACUGGCGGGUGGCAUGGGCUGAGGAAGCUACACCACUCUGAAGGGUGCAGUGGGCAGCAGCGCCAGGUCUUAAAAGACUCGGUUGGCUUCAGGUCAGAUGGUAUCCUUUUUUUUUUUUUUUUUUUUUUUGAGAGGGAGUUUCGCUCUUGUUGCCCAGGCUGGAGUGCAAUGGUGGGAUCUCAGCUCACUGCAACCUUCGCCUCCCAGGUUCAAGCAAUUCUCCUGCCUCAGCCUCCUGAGUAGCUAGGAUUACAGGCACCUGCCACCACGCGCGGCUAAUUUUUGUAUUUUUAGUAGAGAUGGGAUUUUGCCAUGCUGGUCUGGAACUCUUGACCUCAGGUGAUAUGCCUGCCUCGGCCUCCCAAAGUGCUGGGAUUACAGGUAUGAGCCACCGCGCCCGGCCUUCAGGGGGUAUCUUAAAGGAAUUCCACAAAUGAACUUGUGUAGAGGUUCAUGGCUUUCAGAAAUGCAUUCGUUUUGUUUACCUCUCACAACUACGCUGAGAAGUACAUACUGUCAGGCUACACUGCAGAUGAAGAAAUAGGUUAUAGGAGGGCAAGCACCCAUUUAAGGUCUCACACAGGUGAAAGGGCAAAGCGAACUCAAUCAAGGUCUCUGGAUGCCCAAUGCCUUUGGUAUUUCCACCUCGCGUGCAGGAGGAAAAGAGCGAAAUUUGACAACAGAAGAGACUGGAGAUGGCCUCAGAGUGCUGGCCGGCCCCACUUUCUAUCCCCCGUGGUGAGAGCUCAGCUGGGCCCAGAGAACUUGUCCCGGGGAAUGCCACCACGACAUGUGUGACUCUGUCCCGCAGGGUGGAAGGCUUCGAAGGAGCCCGCCACCAUGCAGUGGGCCUCACUGUGUGUCAAGCGCUGUGCCGAAAUCCCUGCAGCCGGAGCCAGUUCUUCCUGUUGUACAGACAGGUUCAGGGGCUUGCCUGACCGAACCCAGCGGCAAUGUGCCCGGCCUCCGCGCCUGAGGCUCUGGCUCACAGACCUGUGGCUGAAGCAGCUGCAGCCCGAGCACUUGUGCAGCUGACGCUCGCUUCACGGACGCUUGGGAGGCCGCGGAGCCGGGGGCCAUCAGGCAGACUGGGCCCCUGAAGGUGCAGGGACUGGGGGGAUAUGGGGCAACGUGCCGGCCCAGAGGCUCCUGGGGGGUGGGGAGAGGCCAAAUCUCGGAAAAUGGGGCGCGUCCCCCUCAGCACCCGAUUCUGCCUCAUAGCCCUCGGUCCCUACCAGGCCCUCGGCUCGGCCACACCCCCGCCUGCCCCCCAGUUCUGCCCCCUUGGCUCCCCAGCCCCCCAACUCCCAGCCUCGGGUUCCUCAUGUCCGCAGCGGCCCCUCUUGCUCCUCGGCCCCCCGCACUGCACCCCCGCACCCUUUCGGUGCACCCAUGUGAGCCUCGUCUCGGCCUCCUUGCCUCCCCAGCCCUCUGAUUCCACCCCUCCGGUUCCUCGGUCCCAUUUCACCCCUGUGCGCCUUGGGCGCUCGCCUGACCCUCGUCCCAGCCCCGUCAGCCCUCUAAUCCCGUCCCCCCCGGCCUCCUCACCCCUGGUCUCCGCGGGCCUCAGCUGUCUCCUCGCGGCUCCGUGUCCCGCAAGCUGCUGCCGGCCGGCCCCGCCCACUUCCCGUCCCUGGCCGCCGCGGGCGCCGCGGGCGCCGCGCAGGCGCAGUCGGGCCUCCAGGCUGGCGGGGCCGGACCUCUGCUGCCCCCUGGCGGCUACGUGGACGGUGACUGCGGCCCUUUAGUGGUAGGCGAACUGCGGCUCCACCUGGGCUCCGGAGCCGCCCCAGUCACCAGCCUCUUGCUUCUCUUCUGCAGCUUUGGGUGGGCGGCUGGAUGGGGAAAGCAAUCCCUAGGUCACAGCGCCCAGAAAUUAAGCAACUUCUGCCGUCAAUAGCUGGUAAGUGACAGAGCAGGGAUGCAAACCCAGACUGCCCAGGCAGGCUCAUCCGUCCGGGAAGGAGGCACAGUCCCAGGCUCAUUAUGAGUUGUUUGUUUCCACAAACGUUGAGGCUUUUGUUAUCUUUCCGUUCUGGAGGUCAGAAGUCCACUUAGCCUCAGUGGGCGAAGAUCCAGGGAUCGCCAGAAUGCGUUCCUUUCUGAGGAUUCUAGGGGAGAAACUGUUCCCCUGCCUUUUCCAGCUCCUAAGGGCUCCCUGCAUACCUUGGCUCGUGGCCCCUUCCUACAGCCUCGAAGCCAGCAAUGGCCAGUUGAGCCUUUCUCACACUGCCACCUCUGGUUCCCUCCUCUGCUUCCUUCUGCUACUUCUAAAGACCCUCCUGAUGCCAUUGGGCCCACCCAGAUAGUCCAGCAUCAUCUCUCUAAAUCAGUUGAUUAGCAACCUUAAUUCCCCUUUGCCCCUUAUUAUUAUUAUUAUUUUUUUUUGACACGGAGUCUCACCCUGUCACCCAGGCUGUACUGCAGUGGCAUGACCUCGACUCACUGCAACCUCUGCCUCCCUGGUUCAAGCGAUUUUCCUGCCUCAGCCUCCCGAGUAGCUGGGACUGCAGGCACGCACCACCAUGCCCGGCUAAUUUUUUUUGUAUUUUUAGUAGAGAUGGGGUUUCACCAUGUUGGUCAGGCUGGUCUCAAACUCCUGACCUCAAAUGAUCUGCCUGCCUCGGCCUCCCAAAGUGCUGGGAUUACAGUACAGGCGUGAGCCACUAUGCCGGGUCUGCCAUGUAAUCUAACACAGGCACAGGUAUAGGACAUGAACAUCUCUGAAGGGCCAUUUUUCUGCCAACACAGAGGCUCUUGAAAAUAUUCUUUUUCUCUCUUUUUAGAGACAAGCUCCUUCUCUGGUGCCCACACUGGAGUGCAGUGGCAUGAUCACAGCUCACUGCAGCCUCAAACUCCUGGGCUCAAGUGACCCUCCCCUCCUGCCUCAGCCUUCCUAGUGUCUGGGAACACAGGCAAGCACCACCACGCCCAGCUGAUUAAAAAAAAUUUGUAGAGACAGGGUCUCUAUGUUGCCCAGGCUGGUCUUGAACUCUUGGGCUCAAGUGAUCCUCCUGCCUCAGCCUUCCCAAGUGCUGGGAUUAUAGGUGUGAACCAUUACACCUGGCCAAAAUAUUUUAUUUUAAAGGCAGAAGAAAGAAACCUUUAUGUCAAAGAAAAUGUUUUAAUAUAUGAUAUUAAUAUAUUCACCUUUAUACCAAUGCCGUUGGAAAGUAUAAUUUUUUAAAUGGAGGAUGGGGCACCAGAUCUUAUGUGGCUCUGCCCACCUGACCUUCAGGUCCGCAGGCCUGUGUCCUUGCCAGGAAUGAAUGUCUCUGGGAUGCUUCUCUAACAGGAGGAACCUGGAGUGAGACCAGGAACCUGGAGAACUAGCAGCUGGGUGACUGGAAAGGAAACCAUCUGGGGUGGGGUUGGGUCUGCAAGGCAGGAGGUGUCUGGGCAGAGAAAGCAGGGCUGGGGCGGAGGGUCCUGCCUCAUCCCAUUCUCCUGCUCACUCUUUCCUAGAUCCCUGUCAGGGCAGUAACCAUGAGCAAGGCUUGAGGCUACUUCUUAUAAACAGUGGCCCUGGGCACAUUCCUUAGCUCACCUGAGCCUCAGUUUCUUGAUGAGAAAAAAUCGGGACAAUAGCAACCAACCUAUCUCAGAGGGCUGCUGUGAGACCCUGAGCCACUGUUUCUCAAACUGCCCCUGAGAUCACCUACAACAGAAUGGCUGUAGGGUGAAGUUUGAGAACCGCAGUACAGGUGAGGUGGUGCGUGGGGCAGGCCCUCCCACACUGUAAAGUGCAGUGUGGUGCGGUAAAAGCUGAUAUUCCCGCAGGCAUCCUCAGAGUGGGCCCAAUUAGACUCUUGAGCACUGAUUCCAUUCAAGGUCUGCGGCUUAGAGAGGAUGGCAAAGUGAGGCACCACCAGGAGCUUGUCCCUAUGGGCUCCAGGCCAAGGACGUGCCUGGAGAUGACUCCUGCCUUGUGGCGCUGUCACUGCCUCACUGUCCACAUUCCAUCACGCCUCAGAUCCUGGCUUCCACCCUGGUGAAAGGAAUCUUUCAAUAUCACCCACCCAGCCACAGACGCUUCUCUGCUUCUCUGGCAAGGCUGCACCCCUGGCUAGGUGGGCAGGGCCAGGGGCUCCUUGAGACAGUCUGCAGCCACUGACCUCUCCAGCCUCCAGGGCAGAGGUACAGUCCCAUGGAGCGUGGCUGAUCUGAAGGCAGUUCUGGCCUAAAAGGGGUCUUGUCCCUUCCUUGUCCUCAUUGCUCCCAAGGCCAGGUUGGCAGCAGUAGCAGCGGGGUUGGAUGCUAUUGGAUGGGAGAAGGUGAAUGGACUCGGAGUGCAGAAUCAAGCUGCGGAAGCCAAGGGCCUUGAAGGAGGGUCACACACAAGGGACAACUGCAGAGGAAAAUAAAGGAACACUUUGUGAUUAGCCCUGCCUGUGGCUGAAAGCGCAGUGCAGAAGCAUAGUAAGGAAGGACUGGGUGGUCUGGGUUUAAGACCUAGGAACCGUCUCUGCUCCUCCAAGCCUGAAUGAGCCCUAUAACCUAAGGGUCCUGGAGGUCUUGAAACCUUCUGCGGAGAAGGCUCCAGGUCCACUGGGCCCUGUGGGUGGAAGAGCAGAGUCACAGCCCCGCACUGGGGACCUAACAGGUGUGGCCUUGCUAGGGCCCCAGAAUGGGACCAGAGUGGGUGGGAGGGGGCAGAAGCUCUGAGAGCACCCCCUCCUUCCUGAAGCCUGUGCUUCUGAGACACAUCCCAGGACCCUCUAUGUGGUUCCCCAUGUCUCUGUAUUUUCAUUCAGCUUCGAGUAGCUCUCCAAACUGUGUUCCAGGGAACCCCCGUGUUAACCUGUGAGGGCCUCCAGGAAGGGGGUCCAGGGGGGGUAUGCUUGGUGGGCUCUGGGUUUCCUUACAGGAGCUCUCAUAUAAGUCCUGGUGCAGCCUGGGAAUCUACUACUGAGUUGGGGCGGGGGCGGGUCUGAGUCCGAAACAUUCCUGACCUGCCCCUCAAAGAAAGGUCCCACUGAACAGUCUGGAAAGCUGUUUUGCUGAGCUCCCGUCAUCACUCAAUGAGGCACGGGCGGAGUGUGGAGGGAGUUUCCAACACACAGUGGAUCCCGCACAGGUGUCUCUCCUCGGGUGGCUGGGGAGGGGAGCACAAGAAGGCACUGAGGUCAGAGGGCAGCUGCCACCAGCACCUGGCACCACACGGCAGUCUGGCCUACAGGGUAUUUUCUAAACCUGGCAUGUGAAUGGGUUCCAUGGGGCACCCAGCUGCCUCUAAGACCAUAAGGGCUUGUUGUGAGAAUGGGAAUUGCAGCAGGUCCUGGGAAGCUGCCAGACGCACACGGGCACCAUGUACAGGGCUUCUCAGAGAUGGGAGCAGGGAGCAGGGGACGGAGAAGUGUGGGGUCAAGAGCGUGGCCCUGAGCAGGGGGCUGCAGCGAAGACCAAGGGGAUUCAUAAGCCAGAUCCGGGGAGGGGGUCUCCCAGCCCCACCUGCUCCACUAGACUCCUCUCCUGCCGGAGCCACAGCUGUCAAGGCCGCCUUCCUUAAGGCAUCAGGGCCACUGCUUGUGCACACAGCUACCAUCAGCAGCACGGAUUGAGAUGGGGUGUGAGUGCAAACUGGGUCUAUUCCCCAGGGCUUCAGGGUUGGGGCAUCCCUGCCCGUACUGCCAGGGUGUAGGGAUAGCAGGGAGCACUCUGGGCACGUGUAUGCAGGCUGAAGGGAGACGUAUUGGGUUUCGGAGAGGGAGAGAGGGCCCCACAGGUGCCCAGGGACACGGUAACGCUCUGACAUCGCUGCACCAGCAAAGGGGCCCCAGCUCUGGAUAAGAUAAAAUGCAUUUUAAUAGUUUGAAGUGCCAUGAGGUGUCUGCAUGGCACUGCAGCCUGGGUGAGGGAGGACAGGGUCAUCAUACAAAGUAGGCGGCCAGGGCUGACAUCUUGUCCUUGGGCCGUCUGGGGUUGGGCUUCCCAGGGGGCCUCCUGGCCCGGCCCCGCCCUCGACCCUGCCUUCUCCCUGGUCCACCGCGGUGCAUGGGGUGGCAGGAGGCCGCAUGCUUCAGCUCCACCAGCUCCUGGAAGACGGGGUCACAAAAGACGCAGCCCAUGUGCUGCGUCUCAUCGCCCGGGAGUGGGGACUUGGCCUUGUUGAAGUCCACAUCAAGCAAGGCGGCCUCACAGACACUGCAGGUGUCGGCGGACACCCGCACGCGGUGGGCGUUCUCGAAGCAGUGCGCUACCACGUUGCACUUGUUGCAGGCCACCUUCCACUUGGGGCCCGAGGUGGGGUCCAGCACCAGCACCCCGCUCUCACAUUCCACGCACUGGCCGAUGCCCAGCAUGCUCAGCGAGUGCUGGCAGGAGGGGUGCGUACACUCGUUGCAGCCCAUGCCUGGCGGGAGAAGGGAGCCCUGUAAAGGCACGCCCACUGUGCCCACCUGCCCUCUGCUGCCUGCUCCCAAUGCCUCAAGCUCCUGGAUCCCUCGUCCCAGCAGAAGGAACUCUUCUUGGCCUUGCUCUUGGGGACAGCCUUGCUCAUGUUUCGGCUCCUGGCUGCCAUUACCCCUGUUUUCUGCUUACCUGAAACCUCCUCAACUUUCAAGGCCCCUCGCUGGCACCAUCCCAGUGGGUUUCAGCUGACUCCAUCCCCCCUUUGCUUUGCUGCCAGCUUGUUACUGGUAAUGCCACAUGACCCUCAUGUCACUGGGCCACAUGGAACCACCCUGUCAGCUACUCUGGCGGCAGCAGGAGGGCAGGGAUGGGGUCUCACUCCCGGGGCAGCCUGGGUGCAGACUGAGGCCUGAGGGAGCUUUCUGCAGAGCACACGGUGAAUGUGGGCAGAUGCCUCACUCCCGCUGAUUCCUGGUCUGGCUCGGUGCUCUGUCCUGCCUGCCUGGACAUGCGCUCCCUCCUCCAGUAAUGAGGACGAGGAUGAGGAUGGAGGACGGUGGUGGACGCUGACUGGGGGUGCCCGCUCACCGGGUGGGUCCCCCGACUGCUGCAUCCUCUUGCUCACUCAGCUCCAGAGGGAGCACUGCACACCUGUGCCCAGGUCCUGAGGGUGGACUAGGGUUGCCUGCUCGAUUCUGACACAGAGAGAGGGUGGCACCACUGGCUGAGGCCUAAGCAGUGCCCCAGCUACAUCCAGGGUCUCUCGUCUCAGUGCCAAUGAGUGCAGGAAAGGCCAGGGUGAGGGGUCCCCUCAGAGUCCAGCCUGGUGCAAGGCAGGGGUUGGCACUGAAAAGAGACUGCAGCUACCUGUGGACAGGAGGGAGUGGCUGCACUCACCUUUCUUCAUGUCUCGGAAGGGUGGGUGGUUGUAGCAGUAGGGGCACAGCGGGUAGCUCUUGCCCCGAGAGCCUGAUGACCACAGGACCAGCUCGAAGUCAUCCAGAGGGCAGCGGAGCUCCUUGUAGAGCUUGAUGGUGCCGUUCUGGGGGAGCGUGUAGGUCUCAUCGCAGUGGGAGCAGUGCAGGCGGCUUGGCUUGGCCUGCGGCAAUGCCAGGCAGGUGGCGUGAGGGUCACUGGGGCCACCGACUUGGCACCCACCCCCACUCCUCUCAUAAUACAAAGUAUGUAAUCUGUCAUGCAGAACCUGUGACACACUGCCAGGCAAGGAGCAUGAGUCUCUGGCUCUUGCUCCACGCGUGCAGAAAAGGCAGUUCUAAAAUCUCUGUGUGUACAUUAAUGCCCAUGAUGGCAAGUGGCAUGGUGUUAGGGAAAAAUGCACCAUGUGUGUUUGCGUGGCCUAAUGGCUGUGUAUUCUAGGGGACGUGGGGACACUGGGUAUUUUUUGGCAAGGCCUCUUUAUGUUCCAUCAUUCUUUUGUGACAACCAGGACAAAGAACAUGAUUCCUGCUGAUCAACGAUAAAGCUGAGGCCUACAGGGGUGAGGCAGCUUGCCUGAGCUAGUGUUCCCUGCACCUACCUGGAUGUACUUCAUGAAGCGGUGGCACUUCCCACAGCGUGAGAGGGGCUUGCCUGUGGCCGCCAGGGGCGAGAAAGACACCUCCAUCAACUCAUCCAUGCCUGCGGGCAAGCAGAGUGCAGGAGUCAUCUCCCUCCCAGUCCCCAGCAAAAGGCUCCGCAACACGUGGUCAAGGGUCUGAGUGUGAAAGGGUCCCUAUAGGCGGUGGUUUCUACUGUCCUGGCAGCACGGCAGGGCAGCAGCCCUGUGCGUCAGAGGCACGUGUUCCUGGCCAUGUGUGGUGUUAAUGCACCUGCUCUUUCAACCCAGCCAGGAGGUGUCACUGACCUGGCCUACGGAGGCCUGAAGCCCAGAUCUGGGAGCUGGUCCCACGUGGGGACCUGGGUCCCCAGGUACUGGCCUUGCUGACAGAGAGACACCCCUCUGGUGAGGGGCAGGCCAGAGGCAGACUCUACCAGCAAUGGAGUCGACAAAGUAGUGGAACUUCCUCUUGAACACGUCCAGGGUGUGGCCCAGGACCUGGCGGUAGUCGGCCUUGCCCUGGGCGAUCAGGUUCAGCUGCUUCUCCACUGCACUGCGGAUGGUGGGGAGCACCAGCUCUGCAUCUGCAAGUGGGCAGGGGGCAGAUAUUGCCCUGAGCACUCGCACCCAGGGCCAUGCCACCCCUUCCCAGGCAGGGAUACUGCCCUGUUCACCCCUCCCGCUCUGGCCCGUCCUCCUGGCCUCUGCCCUACCCACCAGUCCACAGCCUCAGAUGGUACCAGGCUGGCUCUUAUGACCCCAGACCUUUCCUGAUUUCCCACCUGGAAAUGUCAGGCAGAGUGGCCAGGGAUGUCCUGUGGCUAGAACCACAUCACACAUGAGCUCCAGGCCGCCCUUGGGCCAGUUUUGUGCUCCUCCCUCUCCCCUUGGCCCCUGGGGAACCUCCAGGGAACAGGGCUGAGGCAACUUCGCCUCCCUUUUUGGUUCCCUCACACAUCUGUUCAGCCUUCAAACACACUGAGCUCCUGCUCUGGGCAGGUCCUGGGGGUCCUGGGGCAGCACCCCUUCAGCGGGUGUUGAGGGAGUGUGUGUGGGGCUGGGGGAUCACUGUAGGGCAGGGGCCUGUCUGGAGCGGGCAGCAGAGCCAACAUCCAGGGAGAAGCCAGGGAGCCUCGGUGGGCCCUGGGGGCAGGACUGAGGAACUCACCAAUCUUAUAGUAGCCGUGCACCAGGACGAUGCCGAGGUUGGUGGGCUUGAGCCGGCGCCCGCUCUCCACCGUGACAUAGUUGCGCUGGCAGAUGUUGUUGAUAUGCACAGGGAUGCUGGCAUCCGUGCCUGCAAUGUACAAGGCCCCAGGGUUCCUGGCCUGCCUUGGACAUGCCCCACUGAACCAUGUGCUGUAUCACCUGUCACGGGGCCCCUGGUGCUCAGGCCCUCUCACUGCUCCCGGUCACAGGAGGGAGGGCUGUGCCCUGAGCUCCCCCUGCACUGUGCUGGGCACCAACUGCAUGCAUUUCAUGUUCUGCCUUGAGAACACAAGGGCAGCCCUCCCUGUACAGGGCGCCUACUCCUGCUUUAUGGCAGAGACAACAGGCUCGGAGGUUAAGGAACUCUCCAAGGUCACAGUGCUUAUUCUGCGCCUGGAAAAUGUGACUUCUAUGGCUUCUCCUGCCUGGGUCCUGUGGCACCCACCUGCUCCCGGAGCCAGAGCCCCACUCCACCAGAACACGGAGGUGCUUACAAGCUCACUGCAGAGCUGCCCUCCCCUAAACCUGGACAAUUCUGUCCACUUCCUGUCUCCCACCUCCUCCCUCUCUGCAAGGCCCGUCACGAUCCCCAGGGGAGGCUCCCAGUCCCCAGGAUUCCACUCUCCCACCCAGAGGAAGUUUCCUGGCAGAGGGGCGCAGCGGAGGCUGAGGCGUUUUGACUAUGGCGGGUGCCAGUCAGAGGGGCAGAAAGGAGGCUGGGGCUCCCUGCAUGCUCACCAGCAUGGACAGGUGACACACACCUUCCCAAAGUAGCUCGGAGAGAAUCUCACAUGGGAAGAAACUGGCCUCUGGGGGCUAAGGAGCCUGCCGAGGGCCCAUGGCUCUUGGCACGAGGCCAGCUCUGCACCCGGUGUGGCAGGCUGUGGGUGGCGUGUGCCACUACCACCCCGAGUCUGCCGGGCGCCAUGACGCGUGGUGUGGGCUCCUCUGUGGCGGCUCUGGUCAGGCCCUUUUGACACACUCCUGGGGGCUCAGUCACAGGGCCACCCUGACCACUCUCCUGUUCAGAAGGUAACACCAGAGCCCUCUUCACUGUCACAAACUUGUAUUGGUGAUUGGGUCUGGCUCACUGGCUAGCAUAGGGCUGCCAGGAGCCAGUGUCCCAUCAAUGCGAGAGGGCAGAGGACACGGGGGAGCAGAGCCCACACUCCACAGUGGGCUGAGGGCUAUUUCAGGACCCUGGCAGGUGCCCUGGACCCCUGAGAGGAGCAAGCCCAGAGCUCUGCUCUCCUGCCAAGAUCGCCAUGGUCACCAGGACCCCAGCCUGGGAAGAGACACUCCCUGAGAGUCCACCUAUAUGACCACUGCUGGAGCAGAGCCUGGACACAGUGGCUGUGACAUCCCACAGGUCUCCAGAGCCUGUCAGCCAGGGGUAGUGCCCCAGGGAACAGGCAGUGCCCAGCGGCGCGAGUGCCACCUGGGGAGAAGGCUCCGGCAGUGAGGCUGGCCCCCAACAUGUGAGACAUCUCACAGCUCCAGGCCUGGGGACUUGUGAGGCCACCACUCCUGUGAGGAGUGUGCACUGGUGACUACACUUUUGCUUUGAUAAACUCCCUGGGCUGCCCAUUUUUGCGUGGAAACUUCCUGGUCACCCUUUGGGGAGCCCUGUGCCUGGGACAGGCAUUUCUGUUCUCUCCCAGGGAAGCAGCUCCUGUGAGAUCUCAUUUCCCUGUCACCUGAUUUCAGGACAGCCCAGGCUGGCUGUGUGGACUCAGGGGACUGCCAAUAUGAUUUCUAUGAGUCACCUGGCAUCUGGGCCAAUCUUCAGCCUUGUGGGCGUUAGUCGGUGUGUGCACACCCCACAGUGCACGAGGGCACAUCUGGGCCUUCACAGGGAAGGCCAGGUCCUGAAUGGAGGCCUCAGGAGGGGAUGCCCGCUGUGGACCUGCCUGGCUGGCCACACACUGGGUCACCAGUUUCCAGAUACCAGCCCAUGGAGGGGUGCUGGGCUGGGCACACAGGGCUGGCGGGGCAGCUUUGUGAGUAGACUCGAAGCCUGAGUACUGGAGACGGAGCCGGCUCUGGGGCCUGGGCAGGCGCACCCACCGAUGCCAUGCUUCUCCAUGAGCGUGAUGAGCUCGGCCUCCGUCAGGUAGUCGGGUGGGUUCGUCUGCUUCUCCAGCAUCUUCACCUCGCCCACAGGGAAGGCAUCACCCCGCUGGCAAGUGGGCAGGCUCUCCUCCAGGGGCACGCUCUGCCAGGGCAUGACCUCCGUGAAGCCUGGAGAGAUAUGCGCCGCCACUCAGGGUCCCCAGCCUGGGUGGCCGGGGCCUCAGACCCUGGGCCUCCCAUCCCCAGACACGAUGUAGAAUGUUUGUCUGCCCAUGAAGGCACAGAGGAGGAAGGCUGGGCCCGUGGUGUGACCUGGUGAGAGGACGGUCUUCCCGGAGCAGGUGAAGAGCUCGGGCCCAAUUCUGAAGGAGAUGGUGCUCUGCAGGUACUUGCAGUCAUGGCUGACCGUGGCGAUGAAGUGUCUGGUGAUGUACUCAUAGAGCCGCCACGCGUCACCCCCUGCAACAGGCCAGGGCUAGUCAGUUGGGAGCCAGCUGGGGGCUCUGGCCGUGAGGAGCCCCCAGUACUCUCGCUCGAGCAGCAAGCUCCUGCUUACAGAGCCGCUGUGCAGGACACACUGCAAAUCCUGGGGAAGGAGGAAAGAAAAUGUGCAGGAAGGCCGGGCGUGGUGGCUCAUGCCUGUAAUCCUAGCACUCUGGGAGGCUAAGGUGGAUGGAUCACUUGAGGUCAGGAGUUUGAGACCAGCCUGGCCAACAUGGUGAAACCCCGUCUCUACUAAAAAUACAAAGAAAUUAGCUGGGUGUGGUGGUGGGAGCCUGUAAUCCCAGCUACUCGGGGGGCUGAGGCAGGGUGAACUGCUUGAACCUGGGAGGCAGAGGUUGCAGUGAGCCGAGAUCGGGCCACUGCACUCCAGCCUGGGUGACAGAACAAGACUCUGUCUCAAAAAAAGAAAAAAAAAAAGCAAAUGCGGAGGAAGGGAACACAAGCCUCCAUGCCUCAGUGGUUUCUUUCUGGCUGCGGCUCCCACCAUCCUGCACAACCUCCUGUCCCUGCUUCUGGCGGGACUGCUCUUCAGGCAUUGGCCUGUCUUUCCAUUGUCUCGUGACAUGACACCAUUGCUUCAAACUCAGACUGUCCACAGGUGGCUCCUGUCUCUACCUGCACUGCUCUCCCUUCCUCAUUUGCCUUCUCCUGGCACUCGGACCACUGGUACCACCUUAGGCCAGCUGGGAGGUAGGAGGUGUGCUGCCCCCUCCCCCACACCGCCACUCUCUACCCUGGUUUCAUUCAUGUCCCCUGUGGCGUCUGCCCCCUUGCCUCCCUGCAACAGCACCUGCUGCUACCUCUUCACUCCUGUCCUGGUCCCAUAGCAAUGGAGCUCAUCUUCCAGGUGGCCCCCCAUCCCCACAGCCAGGGCAGGCAGAGGCUGAAGGAGCCCCCACAUUGCCAACAGGGCCUGCAACCUUCACUGUCGCAGCUCGCCCUUCCCUCCCUGGAAGCACACCGGGUAUGGGAUGAGAGCGGUACCUAAUUCGGCCUCUGUGGCAGACUUCAUGGGGGUGAUGGGGGGAUGGUCGCCGGCGUCAUGGCCUUUCCGCGGGCGGUUGAUACCUUCUGCUAACAACCGCUUCACCUGAGGGAGAGAAGACAGAGCAGAGUCUGUGGCUGGGCUCGGCUGCCUGCCUGGGUUUGGCUGACGUACCAGACCUGGUCCCAAGGCCUCAGUGACACACACACAUGCUGAGGCCGGCCCGGCUCCACUCACCGUGUCGGCCCAGUAGGGGUGGUUGGCCUGCUGCCGCAGAGAGCCCUUCAGGUCAAAGUUCUCAGGGUAGUGGGUGGUCUCUGUCCGUGGGUAGCUGAUGUAGCCUUGCGUGUAGAGCCGCUCAGCCGUCUGCAUGGCGUGCUGCGGCCCCAUGCCUGCGAGAGACAGGAGGUUCUCAGAGGGCCAGGUACGUGGGGAUGGCCAGCUGCCUGCCCUGGCCUAUGCACUCAGGCUCCCCCAUUGUGGCCGGCCCCUCCUGGAGGGUGACGGUGGCUCUGAGCAGGCACAGCUGGAGUGCAAAGCUGCUGGCCGGGUGGGCACCUAUGCCACACAGUCUUGUAUGAGGCUGAAUCCCGCACCCGUAAGGCUGAAUCCUACACCCAGGAUGGGCCUGAUGGGAAACGCCACUCACUCUACCCCACGGUGCAUCCUCAUGGGGCUCAUGGCCAUGGGGAUGACACAUGGCCUUCAGAGCACCACUCCCCAUGCAUUGUCCAUGGAGCCAUAACCAUACCUCGGGGUUGGCUGACGACAGAGUUAGCACGCAGCCCCAUUUUGAGCCCUUGGGUGUUUCUGUCCUCACAGCACUUUGGGGCCACUCAGGGGGGCUCGUCCUGCUACUCCCUGACCAGCAGAGGCAGGCGCUUAGCUAGCAACCACUCCCAGCAUUGCUGCCCUCUGAGGACGCUGGAGCCACCACUCAGUGUCCACUGAGAGGACACUGCCCAUAGUUCCCUGCGGGGGUGGGGGGCACCAAUGCCUAGGGGCUGACAGCUGCCAGAGACCACCAGCUUUCCAGCCCAACCCCCUCCUCGUUACUAAGGAGAAAAGACUGAGGAGAUGAGGCUGAGGGGCGACGUUCACACUGGUUCCCUGAAGGUGACAUCUGGCUGGGGCCUCUCCCCUCACCAGGGAUAGCUGCUCAGGGACUCUAACAUCAGGAGGUCCCCUCAGGUGGUGACCAACUUUACCACCUUUACAACCUAAGGAUAAGUGAAAUCCUCCUGAGGCUCAGAUCCCCUUGAAGCCUUGGGCACCAUCCUGCAACCCUGGGCACUCGCUGCUCCAGGCUGAACCUGCCUCAGGAAGCCUUCUGGUGACUUGAGAGAAAUGUCCCUACAUACCCAGAGAAGAGCUGGCCACACGCAGCAUCUCCACAGUGUUCAGGGCCAGGGGCCUCUGCUUGGCCUUUUCUUUCCUGCUUGUGGCCUCCACCUGGAAGACAGGACAGUCAAUGAUUUGGGGAAGGAGGAAGACACCACCAUAGAGGGAAUCAAGAUGUGUGGACGAAGGGUCUGGUUUCAUUCAUCUGGUCUCCCUGUUUCUCCAAUUCAUUCUUCCCAACAGUCUAAAGACUUGAUUGAAUAUUUAUUCAGGACCAGGAAAGGAAAAAGAAUGAAAAUUCUUUUUUAAAAAAAAAUUUUGGCUGGGUGUGGUGGCUCACGCCUGUAAUCCCAGUACUUUGGGAGGCUGAGGCGGGUGGAUCACCUGAGGUCAGGAGUUCGAGACCAGCUUGACCAAGAUGGUGAAACCCCGUCUCUACUAAAAAUACAAACAUUAGCUGGGCAUGGUGGAACGUGCCUGUAAUCCAAGCUACUCGUGACGCUGAGGCAGAAUUGCUUGAACCUGGGAGGUGAAGGUUGCAGUGAGCUGAGACCACGCCAUUGUAAUCCAGCCUGGGUGACAGAGCAAGACUCCAUCUCAAAACAAACAAACAAACAAACAAAAAACCAAAUUUUGUUUUUUUUAAGAGACAGGGUCCUGCUCUGUCGCCCAGGCUGGAGUGCAGUGGCACCAUCAGAGCUUACUGUAGCCCUGAACUCCUGGGACAAGUGAUCCUCCUGCCUCAGCCUCCUGUGUAGCUGAAACCACAGGCACACACCAUCAUGUCUGACCAAUUUUUUUUUUCAAUUUCUUGUACAGACAGGGUCUUGCUAUGUUGCCCAGGCUAGUCUUAAAUGAACUCCUGGCCUCAAGUAAUCCUCUCGCCUCAGCUUCUCAAAGUGCUAGGAUUACAGGCACGUGCCACCAUGCCCGUCUACUUUUUAAAUUAUUUUUUUCAGAGACAGGGUCUCCCUGUGUUGUCCAGGCUGGUCUCAAACUCCUGGCCUCAAGUGAUUGAAUAUUCUUUUCUGGAGAAUUUUCUAGGGAAAGAGAAAACCUGGAAGAUUGAGGAGGAGUCAGAAGGGCUGCAGAUGGAAAUCCUACAGAAGCCAGCAUCAGCCAAGCUACAGGGAUGGCAAGUGGGGCCCGUCCCAGGGGAAGUACCACUCCUUGUUGUGGGGAGGGCUGCUGCCUGCACCUGCUAGUAUUGCUACCUCUUCUGAUUUUUCAAGAGAAGCUAGAAGGCAGAAUUUUAGUAUGAAAUCUCGUAAUUUUUAAGUGCUGGUAACUAUUCUGGAAUUUGUGUAAACACCAUGCAGGUUAGUGGAGUGCAUCUAUGAGCUGUGCUUUGUUGGGGUCCUGCCACUCUCUACCUCUGCUGAACACUUGUCGGAAGAGACAACUCUUUGUUUUGCCUAUGGCAAAAACAAUCCAAACAACUCAACCCCAGGCCCUGGCCCUUGCCAAUCCCACGUAGGCUGGUCAGGGCAGUGCCUUCUGCAUUCCAGACAGACAGAUGUGGGUGCUAACAGAGGCCAGUUGUUAUGUGAAGCUGGGCUCCCCAGCGUGAGGCCUGGAGGUGGCAACAGUGUCUCUGCAGGAAUGUGAUCAAUGCUGACAGCCUGGAGCAGCUUUAGAAGUUUCAGAUGCCUGAGACGAUAGCAUGGCGGGCAACAGGGCACUCAAGGAAGGCCAGAGAAGGACAAGGAGAAGGCGGCUAAGGAGGCCAGGCUGUGUCUCGACGGAUCUGGUAGCUGUCAUGCCUGUAGCAUGUUUACUUCAAUAGCCACAGAUGUGUCCCCAACCCAUGCAGCCAGGUCACCUCACCGUUUUCCUAACAGCCAAGCAGCAUGUCCUUUCAAUUCAUAGAAGCCCUGAGUAAGAAACAUAAUCCCAUAAAAGCACGCAAGCUGAUUGCAAUUGGAAUCUCAAGACUUUCCCCUGCUAGCUGUGACCUUGGGCAAGUUCAUCAGUGUGCACCAAGGUCCCUCUACAGUUGUUAGUUUGAAUCUCUGUGUGAAAUGGAGUCCUGCCACACGGAGGUAAUGCCUAGCGGGUCACGUGGAAAGGGGAGAGUGGAAGGGGUCCGACAAGGUCACAGGUGUGGACAGUGCCUGGUAUGGAGCGGGCAUGCAGUACACUGUGACUAUUGCACUGGGCAGAAAUAUCUUAGGAGUAUAUGAGGGAGUAACCAUUCAGCUUUCCAAAAAGAUGUCUGUGUUUCAGAAAGGGGGAGAAAGACGUGGACUAGGAUCACAGGCUGUUCCUCCAGCGGGAGGCAUCCAAGGGCCACCCUCACCCAAGGCAACUGUGAUAGAUGUGGGUGGAGCAGGCACACCUGGGCUUCCUUCUCCAGCUUUGUCAUGUUUAAAAACAUCUGUGCGAUCUCCCGGUCAAACACUCUUACUCGGUCCCAGUCCAAAAGGAGAGAUCUGUCUUUGUCAGUGUUAACCUGCAGGAAAAAGGAUAAAGGGUGAACGCACAAGAAAAAGUCUCCAGGUGAGCCCAACGCCAGGAAGAACCAGGACAGAUGAAGCUGGUCCUUGUCUGGGAGCCAAAUAGCCCUGGCUGUAAUGGCUCACAGCUGUACCUGUUCAGGUGGGCAGAUACGCAAGCUGACAUCUGGCCCUCUCCACCACUUGCCCCAAAACCAGGCAGCCAGUCUCAGGAAGGUGGCCCAAAGCUGAGGCUGAUGUGUCCCUAAGAAGCACCUGAGCCCCUACUUCUCACACCACCCCUGCCUAUCCCCAGUGCCUGGCCAGUGGUAGGUAUGGCCACCGCCAGGGUCCCAAGCCCCGUGUCAGCCACAGCAGCUCCAAGACAGUGUCUCACUGUGUUGCUAGGCUGGAGUGCAGUGGCACGAUCGUAGCUCACUGUAGCCUUGGACUCCUGGCCUCAAGCAAUCCUCUUGCCUCAGCCUCCCAGGUUGUUGGGAUUACAGACAUCAGUCACUGUGCCUAGCUGUAUUAAGUCUUACAGUGAGCUUCUGUGGAGGCUUUUAUUUGAAGAAAGGGUUCUAGGAAUUUUAAAAAGUUUGAAAGCCAAUGGUCUCAGUCCAGUGCUUGGACCUGACCACUGAAGCCACUGAUUCCUGUGGGGUGACCUCACCCUGCACUGCCAGAGCUGAACUCAUUCCCACUUAUCCAGAUUCAGCAUAUACAGGCCCAGUCUCUUCCCACUGCCCCCAUGAAGGCUGGGGUCCCUCAGCCCUAGGCACCACAGACCACUUCCAGGUACAGCCGUCCACACUUCUGCCCUCAGCCCGGGGCCUGCCGGCUGAUGAUGAUGGAAGACUCUCAGAAUCCAUGCCCCAAACCCAGAAAGCCCCAGCAUGAAUAGAGAAAGGCAAGGAACCUUGGCCUGCAGCACCCAGUAGGUCUCUGGUUUGAAGGACUGGAUUUUAUCAUGUCUCUCCACACAGAAUCCCAGGGUUGGAGUCUGACACGGCCCAAAGGAGAUGAGAGAGCUGUCUAAAUCACCGUAUUUCCCCUGGAAAUAUUUAGUCUGAAACCUGGAGGGAGUGGAAAGAUAUUUUGGUCACUGAUUCACUCAAGACACUAUUAUGGCCACCCAUGUGAGUCCAGCCCAAGGCCAGGGGUGGUGCAUGAAGGAGGUGGCAUCAGGUGGUGUCCCCACUUAGAAGCCAGUGGGAGCAGAGUGGGCAUAGCCUUAGGGAGGAUUCAUGUGUGUACAUGGGUGACAGAGCCAGUGAGAGAGGAGACAGAGGUUUCUACUGUCUCAGGCCAGGGAGCCUUCUAUUCUAUUCCAUCUACUGCACACUCUCCUCAGGACCCCCAGAGCACAGACAAACACACUUUAUCAAGCAGGGCAUAUGUGAUCUCUGUCAGCUAAAUAAACAAUUUUCUUUAGGUCUCUUUUGUUUUUGUAGAGACAGGGUCUUGCUGUAUUGCCCAGCAGGAGUGCAUUAAUGGGGAUUCACAGAUCAUUGCAGCCUUGAACUCCUGGGCUCAAGUGAUCCUCCCACCUCAGCCUCCCAAGUAACUGGGACUACAGGCUCACACCACCACACCCAGCUAAUUAAAACAAAAUGUUUGGACAGGCACAGUGGCUCAUACCUGUAAUCCCAGCAUUUUGGGAAGCUGAGGUGGGCGGAUCACCUGAGGUCAGGAGUUCGAGACCAGCCUGGCCAACAUGGUGAAACCCCGUCUCUACUAAAAGUAUAAAAAUUAGCCGGGAGUGGUGGCAGGAGCCUGUAAUCCCAGCUAGUUGGGAGGCUGAGGCAUGAGAAUCACUUGAACCCAGGAGGCAGAGGUUGCAGUGAGCUGAGAUUGUGCCACUGCACUCCAGCCUGGAUGACAGAGUAAGACUCUGUCUCAAAAAACAAACAAACAAAAAAAUAAAUAAAUUUUUGUUUAGCCUGGGCGCAGUGGCUCACAUGUGUAAUCCCAGCACUUUGGGAAGCCAAGGUGGGCAGAUUGCUUGAGCUCAGGAGUUUGAGACCAGCCUGGGCAAUACAGUAAAACCCUGUCUCUACAAAAUGCAUAAAAAUUAGCCAGGCAUAGUGGUGCACACCUGUAGCACCUGUAGUGGAAGGCUCAGGUAGGAGGAUCUCUUGAGCCUGGGAGGCAGAGGUUGCAGUGAGCUGAGAUUGUACCACUGCAUUCCAGCCUAGGCAACAGAACAAGACUCUGUCUCAAAAAAAUAAUUUUUUUUUUUUUUUUUUUUGUAGAGAUGGGGUCUUGUUAUGCUGCCCAGGCUGGUCUCAAACUGCCAACCUCAAGCAAUCCUCCUAUCCUGGUCUCCCAAAGUGCAGGGAUUACAGGUGUUAGCCACUGUGCCUGGCCUUCUUCAGGGUUGGUGAAAUCCCCUGUUGCUCAUCCUGGCUCGAGGAGGCCUAGGGGCCCCGGAGGGGGACCAGUAGAGGCAGGUCUCUGGCUGAGGGAGAGUGAGGGUGUGCCCAGGACUCUGCGGGUGUGGCCAGCACCUGGUGAAUGCACAGCCGAUUCGCAGGUCCAGCUCCUGGCGAGCAUCCACUGAGAGCGCCUCGUUGUGGUCAGGCUCGCCUAGGCAGGCCAUGGCAUUACAGAUGUCUGUGUCCGUGAUGGAGCUAAACCUGGCCCGGAACACGGUCUUCUCGCCACCAUGGGCCUUGUUCAUGACGGGCAGAACAGCAUCAAGAACCUGGGGGUGGGGAGUGGCCAGCUGUGACCCACCUCCCAGAUCCCUGCCACAGCUCCCCACCCCACUGUGAAGCCUGGUUCCUUCCAGGAAAGAACACGUGUGCUCGGCUCCCUCUCCUGCCCCUGCCAGACCCUCCUCUAUCCCCUUUCCUGCACCUGCCAGACCCUCCUCUAUCCCCCUGCCUUUCCAGAAGCCCUGAGCACUCCACAACACCCCACCACAUGGCUUCCUUUACUCCCAUCUAGAAACAUACUCGAACACUCCCUUCUUACUCCCGCCCUCUCUUCUAAUCCUCUGCUUUCAUCCCCACCAAAUCAGGAAAUGCUACUGCCAAGUACAUGAGGGACCUCUUAGUCCCCAAACCCAUCCCAUGUGACACGAUUCCCUGCCUUCUAGGAGGGAGGGUUUGGAGGGGUGGGUGGAAAUUUUAAGAGGCUGAAGAAAAGACAGGGAAGGAAAAAAGAAUGAAGGGGAAAGGAAAUGGGCAAGAGCAGGAAGGCCACGGGUGGUCCUAGCUUGUGGUGGGGGCAGCUCGGGCUAAAGCACAGCAGGGGUCCUGGAGCCGAGACUCACUAGGAAGGCCGUGCAGUGGGACUAGGGUCGCCGCCGGAGCCUGGCCACGCAGCUUCCUUACUGGGAAUAAGUGGCUUCAUUUCUGAAGGGAGAAAGCCCCAUGAGCUGCCCCCAUUCUCCAUUCCCAGAUGCAAAGGCCCCCAGGGAGGAGCCGCCCUGCAGGGGAGGAGAGGGUAUCUGGGAAGAGACAGAGUGUGAUCGCAUUUGCUGAGGGUGCUGUACUGCAACGCCAGGUGCCUCAGCUCUGUCUCACUGACCAGCUCUUGAGCCACGGGUGAGAGCUGGGGGUACAGGAGCACGGGGGCGACCCAUAGAACAACAGUCUGAAGGGCACCAAGUGAGACCAGCAGUCAUGGCCACUGUGAGGGCACCAUGGCCGGGGCAAGCAUGGGGCAUGGGGUGUGCACAGGGAGCAGCUGCCACCUGCUUCUCUGCAGGGCUCCCAGGGUUGGCUGGAGGCAGGAGGCAUCCUGGAUGAGGCAGGAGAUGAGCAGAGCGAGGCCUGCAAAAGGAGCUCAGUGCUGAGGUCGGGAAUCAACCAGCAUCAACCCAAGGUCCCUGAGAAGUCACGCUGGGCACAAGAUGCUGAACACCAAGCUGCCCCAAGACAAUCCCAUUCUGAAACCUGCAUCCACCCAGACAAUUUGGCCCCUCCUAUGUUCACUCAUACCGUUGAGGCCUCAGCAAGCGGAGGAACAACUGACCACCUUUAAUAGAGCCUAUGCAGUUAAAAGUAUCUGUGGAGUUUCAGAAUAAAGGGAGGGGAGAGGUGUUUUUAAACCGGUACAGUUUACUCCCUCCUUUGGCCCCAGGAGUGAUGUGACUGACUGCUGGUGUCAGUUUGGGGCUGGUGUCAGAAAGGCCAAAAGUGAGGAACAAAGUGAGCCUCACACUCACCUCAAAGCAGAUGUUCUCCCCCUCCUUGUCGCAGUCCAGCCACAGCACGAUGUAGUCGCAGCCUCUGCCCUCCACCUGCCACACAGCACAGGUUCACACGUACCUGCUGCAGACCCGGUCUGUGCCACCCGCCCCCAGUGCUCCCAUCCAGGACAGGGCUUGGUCCCAGGCCCUGAACCUCAGUUAGGAGGACUGGUACCUGGGCUGGGUAAGGAGCUGGCUGUGUUGAGGCUGGCUCAGCCAACAGAAAAGAAUUGAGUUUAUAAUUGAUGUUUUUUGGACCAAAAAAAAAAGUAUAAAUGCAACAUGAUCUUAUACCCCAAAACUGCCCAGAAGAAGGGUUAAAAUGAAAUAACCCUAAAUGAUAACAGCAGUCGUCUUGGGUAAUAUGAUUAUGCAUAAUUUUUCUGUCUUUCUACUUAUCUGCACUUUCUAAUUUUCCAUAAUCUGUAUGCAUUUGUUUUAAAAUUAAGGAGAAAAACCCCCCGACCAAACAAGCUAUUUUAAAAGCAGAAGGCCUGCUCUCCAGGACUGAGGGUUGGCAAUGGCAACUGCCUUGUGUGUUGGGGGUGCCUGCAGGUGCCUCGUGGGCCAGCAGGGGGCACUCACAGAAAAAGCUAGCAAAGGCCCCCCUGUCCAAGGGGGAUUAGGACUCAAGCAAGGGUGGGCAAAGACAUGGCAGCUGUGGAGGGUGGGGAGCCCCGGUGUGCUCAUGCCCAGGCCAGCCCCACGCACCUGCAGGAACUUCACCAUGUUCAGCUUGGGGUUAGCUUCUUUCUUCUCCGUGGGAGCUUGGCUGAACAGUUCUGCGGGGUCCACUUUGUCCCAUUUGUUGUAUUUUCCUACAAACCAGUCACAGUGACAUUGAGUCACAGGAGCUCAGCCUCCGAGACCAUCAUAACCCCAGGAGGAUGUUGGCCUCAUCCCACAAAUGAGGAGGGGAAAGCUUGGAGAACAAUUUGCCCAGGGUCAUCCUGAUGAUCAGAGGCAGAGCCAGGAUGUGGGUUCAGGCCUUUGGUAACCCCCUCCCAUCCAGCCUCCUUUCUGCUCGGCUGCUGAGCGGACCCACCACACCCCGGCCAACCACAGGAGCCAAGCAAGCUCUCGGGGGGCUGCCACUCUGGCCUCACUUCCGGGACUUUCCCUGUGGCUGGGAGCACCAUUCCUGGGCUGGGUCUCUUUGCCUGAGCACUGGACCCCACAAUGGUGCCUUCAUUGACACUUCCAACCUGAGUUUCUGGAACUUUGUCCUUCCACCCAGCACUCUGUGGGGGCACACAUGUGUGCAGUCGUUCCUGUUAAAGGACCAUCUUUUUGAGCCUCAUGCCCAGCACAUUCACCUACUCAUCUACAGAGACCCGGUUCUUGCAUGCUCAGCUGUCUGGCUUUCUUUUAGGCCCCAUUUCUUUUUUUUUCUGAGACAGGGGUCUCGCUCUAUCACCCAGGAUGAAGUACAGUGAUACGAUCACGGCUAACUGCAGUCUCGACCUCCCAGCCUCAGUCCAUCUUCCCACCUCAGCCUCCCAAGACUACAGGUGCGCACCACCAUGCCAGCUGAUUUAAAAAGAAUUUUGUUUUUUUUUUUUUUUGUAGAGACAGGGGUCUCACUAUGUUGUCCAGACUAGUCUUGAACUCCUGGGCUCAAGCGAUCCUCCCCAGGCCCCAUUUCUUGCAUCCUGGGAGAAUGGGGUCAGACAGAGCCAAAUUCAAAUCCCGGCUCCCCACCUGCCAGUUGGAGAUAAAACUUGGGGUCCAAAUGCUCAGCCACACAACUCAGUCACCAUCAUUGUCAUCACUGUCAUCAAUGAGCAGCAAGAACAAGGGCUGAGGCUUUGCUGUGUGUCGGGCCCUGUGCUGAGUGCUUUGCCCUCACUGUCACACUGAAUCCUUAGCCUUGGGAAGCAGAUGGCAUUGCUGUGAGACCCAUUUCACUAUGAGAAGUGUAAACUCAGAGGCCGUCAUUGCCCACAUCCCCAGCCAGUGAGCCGGCAGAGCAGGGGGAAAAGCCUGGAUCAGACUCUUGCCAACCACAUGGCCCCAAACCUACACCCAGCAGGUCACUAAUACUGGCGCUUCCAAGGUAAUUGAUAACAGUAACAAUAUAGGAAUGACAACGACAGCCACCAAAUGACCGACAGAUGACGGUCAACUUGGCAACAGCAGCAGCCUUCUCUUAAAUGCCUGCACAGGUCAAGCCCUUCCUAAGAUAGGUGCUGCCACUUUGUCUACAUAGGAAGGCACACAGGGAAUGCAGCGACUAAGGGGUGCCGCUAUGAUGGGGACCCAGGGCUGAGUUCCAGAGCCUGGGUUCUGGGCACCGCACCAGGGACCCUCUCAUUGCUACUUCAUGAUCUGCUGGCCUUAUGACUCAUGGAGUUGGGACAAACUUCCCUGCCUAGAGGCAUCUCCUGGCUUCAACUGGACCCUGGCCAGUGCCAUGCAGAACUCCCUUCAGUAGGAUGGAGGGUAGAGGGGCUUACCCAGGAAAUCCAGGGUCAUCACGUGACCACAGACAGACGUCAUCUUGAAGCGCACUGGCUGGCCAGCAAAGGUCCCAGUGUACUCGUGGACUGAGCAGGCCCCGUUCAGCCCUUUGUGUGAGGACAGGCUCCCUGGGGAUGAGGAAGCACAAAGUGACUGGCUGCUUCAGCUGAGCUGAAGACCCUGUGGAGACCCCAGCCCGGAUGCCACCUCCCAGAGGGCCAGAGUCCUCCUUCCCCAGAGUGGUGAGUGACGACAUUCCGCAGACUGGUGCGGGUAGUUGGGCACUGAGAGGUGGGACGGCGCUCAGGGAAAACAGCAUCUGCCAACAACCUAGCACAGAGCACUCUCGAUGCAGAGCCCCAGGCUGCCGGGAGCCAGGAGCAGGCAGGGGUGGGCUCUUUCUCUGUAUUUAUGUUUUCACUCUUCAAUUCCAUUUUUGCCUCACUUCAUUGAAACGUUAUUCAUCGUUUACUAAAACAGACUCCAGAUCUACUCUCGGUUACCAGGGACCUUCUAAUUAUCGAAUUCUCACCCUCUCCACUGACCAUACUCAGCUGUACUUUCUCAGCUUCUGGGCACCGGGCACCACUUUUGGGGCACCGUCCCCUGCGGACCAUGCCUUCUCAGCUGAACGAGGGUCUCUUCCCCUCUCAACUGCUGGACCAAGGGGAGGCCAGGUAGGUGCCUGUCAUUUCUGGGUACCCAGCAUCUAAAACUCUUCCUAUUUGGAGGGAAUUCAAAGAUAGGGGGAAACAGCACCCUACCAACCACCCCAGUGGCCAGAGUUGGGGGUGAGUGGCAGACAUUCCCUCUCGAGCUCCCUGGUGUCUCAGUAGUGCCUGUGGCCAUAGCUCAGUCCAUUGGCUACUCUGGAGUGACGUGAGGUCCACAGGACAGUGGGAGUAUCCAGGGGUGACAAUGCCUGGGGCAUAGCCUCAUCAGACCUUGACUGGGGUGUAGUCCUGGCUGCGUCUCCUUCCUUCCAGGGCUGGUUUCUACUACCUGUACCUAAUAGCCCCACCAGGCCCAGCAUAUGGAUAAUGACUGUCCUUCAAUUUCAUUGUAAAUUGUGCCUUGUGCCUUAUGGGAACCCCAGCUUUGGCACAUUGCCAGGAGUGGAAGCAAAUGCACCCCACUGUGACAUACUGAGAUGCUUCAUUACCACCUGCCGACCCGAACCAAAUCUACCCCAGCCAGGGUGGAAUCACAUUAGGAAAAAAUGUCCUGUAACACAUAAACGACCGUGCUUACAGACCAAAGCAGGGCUGGUCUCUCCUACCUCUAGAGAGGAUUUUGGCAAUUGACUGUGCCAAGGACGGCUUUUCAGCAACCAUGAGCACAGUCUUCAUUUUGUCUCGGUCCUUCACACUCCAGUUUCGGGGCACUGGCAAUGAAAAAGUUUAGACUCCACUCUUCCGCAGCACAGCACUAUUACCAAUGCUGACUCCUAAAGAGAAGAAAAGACACUCAGGAUAGCAAUGCUGUCAAUAGAACCUACACCACUACAAGGAAAAUCACUUUAACAAAGAAAAAACAAGACCAACCUGAGGCAAGAAGAAGAAAAAUUAGGGAAUUAGGGAAACUUGAAGACAUCUGAGAUUAAAAACAAGAAAAAACUACCAGGUCAGCUGAAGUGGCUGAGAUGAUCCUGGGAAUGUGGCUCCAUUUGGGGGAAGGUGAAGUGGCCCCAGUGAUCUCAGGUCAAUUUUAUUCCUAAAUCCAUGCUAGGAAGAUGCUGGGGCCUGGGGAUCUGGAGUGAUGGGUCAGGCCAGGUGGAUGCCUGGCCCUCCUCUCUGGACUGGCUCUUCCACCUACAGGUGGACUCACCUGGAAAGAGGAACUAUCGUGGCCGAGAGCAGCACCUCCCGCUCAGCAAAGCACUUGGACGCCCCAGGACACUUUACAAAAUGCAGAUGCCCAGGCUGGGCCCCCCAGGUCCUUCUGAUCCAUGAUGGGCCUGAGACCCUCUGGCUAGUCGGUCCAGCCCCAAGCAGACAUCAGGACUCUGUCACAUCUAUCUCCCACCUAUUCCACUCCACCUUUUGCUUUGCAGGUCAUGCUCUGGCCAAAUUAAAUCAAAUAUCAUCAUCGAAGCAAACACGCACUUGAAGCCUCUGUGCCUGCGCUUCCCUGCCUGAGAGAAAGCUCCGCCAGGCCUGGAGGAUGCAGCUGGAUGGCCCACAGGCCCAGCUCAAGUCUCCCAACACCACUGGCAGGGUAAGUCAGCCCUCCUGUGCCCACAGCUCUUGGGCUAGGUCUCCAUUCCAACCCACUCACAUCAUGCCAUCAUCAGCGACUACUUCACCCCCAAAAUAGGACACGAUGGGCUUUGUGUCUGAAUCACUGUUGGUCUUUGCAACAGCUUUCUGUGCCUGACACAUGACAUUCAAUACCUGCUAGCCAAGUAAAAGAAAACCACAUGAACCCUUUUUGUUUUUUCAGUCAUUAUAAAUGUAGCACUGAUGUUUAUAAACAUAGCACCGUAUUAAAAAAGAAAAAAAAGACUCGUAUUGAGACAACUGGGAAAUCUGCUGUGAAAAAAAAUAAAGUUAGACUCCUGCUUCCUAAAUCCCACUAAAACCGAUUCCAGAUCUAGCAAAGGUUUGAGUAGAAACAAUGAAACCAGAAAAUAUUAGGAAAAACAUGUGCUUUUAAAAUAAAUCUCACAAGCCAGGUGUGGUAGCACAUGCCUAUAGUGUCAGCCACUCAGGAGGCUGAGGCAAGAGGAUCGCUUGCUUGAGGCCAGGAAUUCAAGGCUGUUGUGUGCCAUGACUGCACCUGUGGAUAGAACAGCCACUUCACUCCAGCCUAGGUGACAGCAAGACCCUGUCUCAAAAAAAGUAAAAGCAAAAUAAAAUAAUCUCAGCAUAAAGAAAAACUACCACCUAGAUGGGCACAGUGGCUCACGCCUGUAUCCCAGCACUUUGGGAGGCUGAGGUGGGUGGACCACUUGAGGUCAGGAGUUCAAGACCAGCCUGGCCAACAUGGCAAAACCCCAUCUCUAAUAAAAAUACAAAAAUUAGCUGGGUGUGGUGGUGGGUGCCUAUAAUCCCAGCUGCUUGGGAGGCUGAGGCAUGAGAAUCGCUCGAACUCAGGAAGUGGAGGUUGCAGUGAGCCGAGAUCAUGCUAUUGCACUCCAGCUUGUACAACAGAGUGAGACUCCAUCUCAAACAAAAAAAAAAAAAAAAAAAAAAGGGAAAACCACCACGUAAGUACCUUUGUGGUAUCACAUCAUGUCCAACAACACUCGCAGAAGAAACUCAGAACUACAA